CAGCCUUUUGAAUUUUUUAUUUUUUUUGUAUUAUAUAAUCAAGCAAAAUUUGUUAUUUCCCACAAAAUCAUUGGUAGGGGAAGAGUUCCUGGGCAGAAUCAGGAUACUGCUGGUGGUCAAGUGCAGGAGUCAUUUGCUGUGAAUGGACAAAUGAGUGCAACUGCAGGCUUCUCCACAAGUGCAGAUGCUUUGGGUGCUCAUAGCCUAACGUUCACAGAUGGUGUGUCUCCAGGAUUCAUAGCACCUGAUGGCAUGGGCGGCAACGGCCAUGAGCUGAUGAACAGAGAUGAACGCUAUGAAAAAGAGAAGUGUGUGCAUCCAAAGGGAAAGAAGAAAAAGGUUAAGAGAGGGGAGAACACAGCUUCACCAUUAAGGAAGAAACCCAUUCAGUCAGCAUCUGACAUUAAUGAAAUGUGAUUUGAUUAAUAAGAUAAA